AACAAUAGUCUCCUUAAGGUAACUAAUAUUAGUGUAGAUAUUAGUAGUAGAUUAGUUUUAAAUCAUUUGCCCACCCCUCACUCUAAAGGCUAGCUUAUGUGGUAAUUCACUGUCAGUUACUGUUGUAGAGUAAUUAGCCUUAAGUUGUUGCUCAGGCUACAUUUCUCUGUCGUACUGUCUACAACUACAAAUAUGAAUGCUUUAGAAGAGGACUUUUCUAAUGCUUGGAAUUGCUGUGAGCAAACUUAUUAUAAGAUAACAAUAGAUUUAAUGAUCUUAUCAACUCAACAGCAAUCUUAUAUGCACUUCGUCUCAUUUGAGUUUGUACUGUGUGUAUGUG